rnacentral:rRNA from 1 species
UACGGAGGGCGCAAGCGUUGUUCGGAAUCAUUGGGCGUAAAGCGCGUGCAGGCGGCUUGGUAAGUCGGGUGUGAAAGCCCGGGGCUCAACCCCGGAACUGCACCCGAUACUGCCUCGCUAGAGUCUCGGAGAGGAUGGCGGAAUUUCCGGUGUAGAGGUGAAAUUCGUAGUUAUCGGAAGGAACACCAGCGGCGAAGGCGGCCCUCUGGACGGUGACUGACGCUCAGACGCGAAAGCGUGGGGAGCAAACAGG